rnacentral:rRNA from 1 species
GACGAACGCUGGCGGCGUGCUUAACACACGCAAGUCGAACGGAAAGGCCCCUUUGGGGGUACUCGAGUGGCGAACGGGUGAGUAACACGUGAGUAACCUGCCCUUGACUUCGGGAUAACUUCAGGAAACUGGGGCUAAUACCGGAUAGGAAUCCUUGCUGCAUGGUGGGGGUUGGAAAGCUUCGGCGGUUUUGGAUGGACUCGCGGCGUAUCAGCUUGUUGGUGGGGUAGUGGCUUACCAAGGCUUUGACGGGUAGCCGGCCUGAGAGGGUGACCGGCCACACUGGGACUGAGAUACGGCCCAGACUCCUACGGGAGGAAGAAGUGGGGAAUCUUGAACAAUGGGUGCAAGGCUGAUGCAGAAAGGCCGCGUGCGGGAUGACGGCUUUGGGGUUGUAGAACGCCUUCAGGAGGGGAGAAGCUUGUGGUGACGGUACCUACAGAAGAAGCACCGGCUAACUACGUG